UGCCUGGAAAACAAAAUCUGUAAAUGCAUCAGAUGACAAAUUUAUGAAAGUGGCCUGGAUUAAUGUCAUUUGCGGGUUCCCAGGUGGCUUUGAGAAGUUAAAUGUCACCCUCAAGUUGCUGCUCUCAAAUGCAACUAUAGAUGGAUGAACUGAACCAUUAUCCUCACGCUUUGAUGGGCUAGAGGCAAAGCCAUCCAACAAAUCCAUCAUGGAAGAAGCUCCAACAGAAGAAUU
rnacentral:misc_RNA from 1 species